UACAGAGACUGCAAGCGUUAUUCGGAUUCACUGGGCGUAAAGGGUGCGCAGGCGGCCAGAUGUGUCAGGUGUGAAAGCCCGGGGCUUAACCCCGGAAUUGCGCCUGAAACUGUCUGGCUAGAGUACUGGAGAGGGUAGCGGAAUUCACGGUGUAGCAGUGAAAUGCGUAGAUAUCGUGAGGAACACCAGAGGCGAAGGCGGCUACCUGGACAGUAACUGACGCUCAGGCACGAAAGCGUGGGGAGCAAAAGGGAUUAGAAACCCCCGUAGUCC
rnacentral:rRNA from 1 species